GUGCGCAGGCGGUUAUGUAAGACAGAUGUGAAAUCCCCCGGGCUCAACCUGGGAACUGCAUUUUGUGACUGCAUGGCUAGAGUACGGUAGAGGGGGGAUGGAAUUCCGCGUGUAGCAGUGAAAUGCGUAGAUAUGCGGAGGAACACCGAUGGCGAAGGCAAUCCCCCUGGACCUGUACUGACGCUCAUGCACGAAAGCGUGGGGGAGCAAACAGGAUUAGAUACCCUAGU
rnacentral:rRNA from 1 species